UCGCGGCCGCCGUCGGUGCCGGCGAAACCCGAGCGACGCGGUGCGCGUUCCUUGACCGGCCCGGACGGGGCGGACCCGGCCCGGCGGCGGGAAGAGUGAAGAUCAACUACAGUGAGAUAGCUCUGAAUAUAAGAUUUGUUGUUAAAUUAACUUUCAAUCUGUUAAUUGCCUUACUGGAUGUGAACUCUUCAAGUUACUGCUAUGGCUCUGGCUGUGAUGCUGCUGAACAGUGCUUCCUUCCACGCUGGAUGCUGCAGGCACAAAGUUUUGCUCUCCUUACGUGCACCUCUCCUCGGCGAUUCAAAAUUGUGCAGCAGCUACAGGAGGCCAGGGGCAGAGCCUGCGAAAAAACUGUCAUGGCAGAAUGCUGAUUUCAGCUUUAAGAAGGGCAUUGAUCACCUAAAGACUCAGCUAAGCUUGCUGAAGAAGGAAACACAAGAUUACUUAAAAGGACCUUCAGGCCAUCAAAUAAGUCAGCACUUGCUGGAACAAACAAAGGUGUUAUGGCAAUUUAGGAGCCAAGAAGAUUUAAAUAAAUGGGUUAUUUCCUCUGAUGUGGAGAUUGGAGGGAAAAGUAAAGUUUACAUCAAAUUGGGCAGGAAUAACCAGGCUGCUCUGCUGUAUGGAACCCUCAAUACAGAAGCACCUCGUGAUGGGGAGACAAAAUACAGUGGAUAUUGCAGUAUGAGAUCCAGACCAGCAGUGGGAUCUUUUAACAGGAAGAAGUAUUAUGACUGGUCAAACUUCAACACUCUGUAUUUACGUGUCCGUGGUGAUGGCAGGCCUUGGAUGGUAAACAUUUAUACAGACCCUUACUUCUCUCACCAAAAGGAUGACCUCUACAGCUACUUCAUGUUCACCCGAGGAGGCCCAUACUGGGAGGAAAUAAAGAUUCCAUUCUCCAAAUUCUUUCUCUCCAGUCGGGGAAGAGUCCAGGAUAACCAGCAUCCUAUCUGGUUAGACAAGGUUAGAACCCUUGGAUUCACCAUUGGAGAUAAAAUAGAUGGUCCAUUCCAGCUGGAGAUUGAUUUUCUUGGUCUGCUAAAUGACAGAGCUCAUAGAGAAGAGUUUGCCUAUGAAGCUUAUGACAAGAACACUCCAGUCUAAGUUUGGGCUGGUGUCCUUUGGAAAAUUUUUCAGAUAUUUGGUUUAUUUUUAUAAAACACUUCUUAAGAGGGCUUUUAACAACUUGAAGAGCCUAUGUAAACAUUAAAGAGAUAAAUGCAUUAAGUGUGACAGCACUGGCAUCUUUAAACUCCCAACUACAGAAUCCUGGAGAGACUGUACAUAGAUGGAGAGCAGUAGUAGCACUUCCCUGGGUCAGCUUCAGAUCGGCAUGGAACUUUGCUUGCCCCUUAAAAAUAUCAGUAUUACAUUACAGCAAACCAGGAAGCUCUGGGUUCUUGACCUGCACAAAUAUCCCUGUGAUGCUAAGGGUGUCAAUGACUGGACAGCAGAGCUGUGCUGCUGCAGAGAUUGUGAGUAAUCAGACGACUUCUGAUUUUUUUAAAUUUUAGUUCUUGAGUUGAUCAGGGUGCUGAGGCUGAUAAUUGGUUGUCCUAAAGCACAGCUAGAAGCCUGAUGCAUGCUAACCCCACAAGGAGAAUGAGACCUCUGAGAAGCUGUCAGGAAUUCUUCUCUGUGUAGAGUGUCCCUGUAUCUGCUGUAUGAAUUUUUUGUUAUGUAGUCCUUGAAGUCUAGAAGAUUUUCUGUCCUCUUUCUGUAGGUAGUUAGGUUCCAUAUGUUUAAGUCAUGGCAUCUAAACAUUUUAGCCAAACCACUGGAAAACAAAGGAAACUAGAU